rnacentral:rRNA from 1 species
UACGCUCCCGGGCCUUGUACACACCGCCCGUCACACCACGAAAAGUCGGCAACACCCGAAGCCGGUGGCCCAACCCUUUUUGGGAGGGAGCCGUCGAAGGUGGGGUUGGCGAUUGGGGUGAAAGUCGUAAACAAGGUACC